rnacentral:rRNA from 1 species
CGCGCAGGCGGCUCUGCAAGUCGAAGGUGAAAUCCCUCGGCUCAACCGAGGAAUUGCCUUCGAAACUGCAGGGCUUGAGGCCGGGAGGGGUGGCGGAAUUCCCAGUGUAGCGGUGAAAUGCGUAGAUAUUGGGAGGAACACCAGUGGCGAAGGCGGCCACUGGACCGGUUCUGACGCUGAGGCGCGAAAGCGUGGGGAGCAAACA